rnacentral:rRNA from 1 species
GUAGGUGGCAAGCGUUGUCCGGGAAUUAUUGGGGCGUAAAGCGCGCGCAGGCGGUCCUUUAAGUCUGAUGUGAAAGCCCACGGGCUCAACCGUGGGAGGGUCAUUGGAAACUGGGGGGACGUUGAGUGCAGAAGAGAAGAGUGGAAUUCCACGUGUAGCGGUGAAAUGCGUAGAGAUGUGGAGGAACACCAGUGGCGAAGGCGACUCUUUGGUCUGUAACUGACGCUGAGGCGCGAAAGCGUGGGGAGCAAACAGGAUUAGAUACCCUGGUAGUCCACGCCGUAAACGAUGAGUGCUAAGUGUUAGAGGGUUUCCGCCCUUUAGUGCUGCAGCAAACGCAUUAAGCACUCCGCCUGGGGAGUACGGCCGCAAAGGCUG